rnacentral:misc_RNA from 1 species
CACUUCAUUCUGUGACCUUUGAGGACUAUGGAGUAACUCUGUUUAUGUAUAGGACACCAUACUUGGUUGACAUUGUUCAAGAAAGUGUUGGGAGAGUACUAAAGCUGGACUCCAUUGACGCUGGAAAUGCAUGGAAAGGGAUGGACUUGCUCAUCUUCAACUCAUGGCACUGGUGGACUCAUACUGGAAAAUCUCAACCGUAUUUCUAAUUAAUCUCAAUCUCAUGUCUAUUAUGAACUCAGAAAACAUAUGAAAUGAAAGUCUGAUUGCUUUUUAAUGGUUGUGCAAUGCAGAUGGGACUAUAUGAGUGAUGGAUCAGGAUUGUAUAAGGACAUGAACAGGUUAGAAGCAUAUUAUAAAGGUAUGUCAACAUGGGCAAAGUGGGUUGAUCUUAACGUUGAUCCUGCCAAAACCAGAGUCUUUUUCCAGGGGAUUUCUCCCACUCAUUAUCAGGGCAGGGAAUGGAAUCAACCAAAGAAGAAUUGUUAUGGAGAAGCAGAGCCCCUGUCAGGUUCUGCUUAUCCAGGUGGUGCACCUCCAGCUGUUGCUGUGUUGAACAAGGUGUUAAGUACAAUUGAGAAACCUGUUUAUCCACUAGACAUAACG